GACGAGGGAUCCAAGCGUUGUUCGGAAUUAUUGGGCGUAAAGCGGGUGCAUGUGGCUCUGUAAGUCAGGUGUGAAAUCCCAGGGCUCAACCCUGGAAGUGCAUUUGAUACUGCAGAGCUUGAGUGCUGGAGAGGUAAGUAGAAUACCUAGUGUAGUGGUGAAAUACGUAGAUAUUAGGUGGAAUACCGGAGGCGAAGGCGGCUUACUGGCCAGACACUGACACUCAGACCCGAAAGCGUGGGGAUCAAACAGG
rnacentral:rRNA from 1 species